AGAACGUGACUGUGAUACUGCUUUACAGAGUCCUUGAAAUAGGUUAUUAUUUUACAAACAAAAACUACCCGCUUGAGAUCGUCCCUGAUCUUGGCUAGUUCACUUCCCACUUCUCUGCUUCCUGGCCCACUGAGGCCCCAACCCCACCCCACUUUCACCCUAUCUCUCUAGCCCACAUCCUUUCUGGUCUCUGGUCAGAGGAGCAAGCUGGCCAUCACAUCACAUGCUUCAUAAUGGUUCUAGGCUGUCAUACAUCACUGCCCACAGCUUUGCCAGCACUGGUUCAGCUGAGAAGAGGUCUAACUCCAGAGUUAGCUGUACCACAAAAUCCUCGGGAGGACACCGUUCCCUGGUUCUUUCUGACUCAAAAAGAGGUGUUAUUUAAGAAAGUGGAAGGUAUACCCUCCGAAGAGAAGAAACAGGAGCAAGGGACACGCAGCCUCUGGAGGGCUUCUCAAGUGCGGUACACGUGAACUCCUUGCCAUUAAAGGGGCUCUUUUCCUGACUGGUUUUUCUUCUGGACAGCAGCUUCUGCAGCAUUCAGAAAGUUACAAAACAAGUCCUUGGACUCGGCCGAUCGUUCA